ensembl:lncRNA
GAAAGGAGGAGCAAUCUUCAAGUUUAUUGCCAGGUGCAUUCAAAAACAGACCAGUCGUCUACAUCUGGAGAAGAGAGAAGCAACAGCAUGGAAAGACAACUCCUUUACUGGACAUUACUGCUUGGAUUACUUCAUGCAUCCUGUGGCCAAUCAACAACAGAAGUACCAACAACCAUAACUGAGGCAACAACAACUGAAGCAAUAACGACCACAGCAGCAGCAACGACAAUCACAACUCAAGCAACAAUGGAUACAACUCAAGGAGUGACGACAAUCACAACUGAAGCAACAGCGACCACAGCCACAGCAACUGAACCAUCAACAACAACAACUACCCCUGCUUCACUCAUCAUACCUGAUACAACUACCACUGCUCCAACUACCACGCCUGAUACAACUACCACUAGUCCUGAAACAACUACCACACCUGAAACAACUACCACUAGUCCAGAAACAACUACCACACCUGAAAAAACUACCACUGCUCCACCCACCACACCUGAAACAACUACUACUAGUCCUGAAACAACUACCACUGCUCCACCCACCACACCUGAAACAACUACUACUAGUCCUGAAACAACUACCACUACUCCACCCACCACACCUGAAACAACUACCACUACUCCAACUACCUCACCUGAUACAACCACCACUAGUGCUGAAACAACUACCACUGCUCCAAAACCCACACCUGAUACAACUACCCUGACUUCAACCAGUGAUGCAGCGUUUGUCACAACUCCAUUGACAACAACAACUACCACUGCCCCACCCACCACACCUGUUACAACUACCACUACUCCAACCACCACACCCGGAAUAACUACCACUACUCCAACUACUACACCUGAUACAUCUACCACUACUCCAACCACCACACCUGAUACAACCACAACCUCUCCAACCACCACACCUGAGCCAACUACCACUGCUCUAACCACCACACCUGAAACAACUACCACUACUCCAACUACCACACCUGAUACAACCACAACCUCUCCAACCACCACACCUGAAACAACUACCACUACUCCAACUACCACACCUGAUACAACCACAACCUCUCCAACCACCACACCUGAAACAACUACCACUACUCCAACUACCACACCUGAUACAACCACCACUAGUCCUGAAACAACUACCACUGCUCCACCCACCACACCUGAAACAACUACCACUAGUCCUGAAACAACUACCACUGCUCCAACCACCACAUCUGAAACAACUACCACUAGUCCUGAAACAACUACCACUGCUCCAACCACCACACCUGAAACAACUACCACUAGUCCUGAAACAACUACCACUACUCCACCCACCACACCUGAAACAACUACCACUACUCCAACUACCUCACCUGAAACAACUACCACUAGUCCUGAAACAACUACCACUGCUCCAACCACCACCCCUGAAACAACUACCACUACUCCAACUACCACACCUGAAACAACUACCACUAUUCCUGAAACAACUACAACUGCUCCACCCACCACGUCUGAAACAACUACCACUACUCCAACAACCACACCUGAUGCAGCUACCACUAGUCCUGAAACAACUACCACUGCUCCAACCACCACAUCUGAAACAACUACAACUAGUCCUGAAACAACUACCACUAGUCCUGAGACAACUACCACUGCUCCACCCACCACUCCUGAUACAACUACUACUGCUCCAACCACCACACCUGAAACAACUACCACUACUUCAACUACCACACCUGAAACAACUACCACUAUUCCUGAAACAACUACCACUGCUCCACCCACCACACCUGAAACAACUAACACUAGUCCUGAAACAACUACCCCUGCUCCAACAACCACACCUGAUACAACUACCCUGACUUCAACCAGUGAUGCAGCGUUUGUCACAACUCCAUUGACCACAACUACUAUCACUACUCCACCCACCACACCUGAAACAACUACCACUGCUCCAACCACCACACCUGAUACAACCACAACUUCUCCAACCACCACACCUGAGCCAACUACCACUACUCCAAUCACCACACCUGAUACAACUACCACUACUCCAACCACCAUACCUGAUACAACUACCACUGCUCCAACCACCACACCUGAUACAACCACAACUUCUCCAACCACCACACCUGAGCCAACUACCACUACUCCAAUCACCAUACCUAAUACAACUACCACUACUCCAACCACCACACCUGAUACAACCACAACUUCUCCAACCACCGCACCUGAAACAACUACCGCUACUCCAACCACCACACCUGAAACAACUACCACUGCUCAAACCACAACAACUGAAGUCAUAACGACAGAAACAGGAACCACAACCACAUUACCAACAAGCACAGCAACAACAACCACAACAACUGAAGCAACAACAACUACAACUAAAGUAACGACCACAACCACAGCAACUACAUCACCAACAACAACAACUACAUCAUCAACAACAACAACCACCUCACCAACAACGACAACCACAUCACCGACGACGACAACCACAUCACCAACGACGACAACUUUAUCAACAACAAUAACAACCACAUCGUCAGGCUUAGUAUCACUGGUACAUCUAGAGAUGACGCUCACAGCCUUUGGGCAGGUGACCAAUGAGACAAUCACUAACCUUGUUGAUAAGUUUUUAAUGGAGACCCUAAAUCUAACAGCCUCCAGCAUCAAAAUCAAACAACAAACAUUGUCAGCAUGAGUGUUAACAACCACAACAAUGGAAGCACCAUCAAUUAACAAACAAAUUUAACUAAGAACUACAAUCUCAACACUACUAUUGUGUUGUAGAACUACAAUUCCAGCAGCAACUAGAAAAAGUGAAGCAUCAACAACCAGUCCAUCAUAACCUGCUGAAACUGCCCUGUUUUCUUUUUGUUCACUAAUAUUUAUUUCUCUCCAUCAUAAUUAUAUUUACAUGUGUUUAUGCAGAUACUGUAGUUUGUAGUCACUUGUCUUCCCUGAUUGACGCCUGUUGUCCUUAAGGUCUCACUUUUUAUUUCUAAUGAAAUUAAUCACCAGGUUAAAUGGUCUUCAUCCAUCAAUACUUAUUUUUUAUUGUAAACUUCAACUUAGGCAGCUCCACUUUGUCACUUGUUUGUUAAAACAAUCUGAACAUAGUGUGUGAUCUUUUAUUUUGCUUAGACUACUGUCAUUUAUUGUGAUCCUGUUUUAGCUCCUAGUGUUUGUAUUAUUUCCUGACCUACACUAACUAUCACUGAACCACAGGUCUCUGUCUGAAGCAAAAUGGUGUUAAAUGGUCUUAUUGGGAUUUUGUUGACUUUUGACAAUUUUCAUCUUCAGGAAACUUGGUUAAAAAUCUUUUUAAUCAUAGUUACAUUCUGGGUAUCAUAAAUCAGAGAUUGACUGAAAAGUGAUAUUUGUAGCAUAGUGAACAUGAGACCAUGUGAUCCAACAGGACAUCAAGAAACUGCCACGCUGACAAGUUUGGUAACCAGGAAACUAAUAAACUAUGUUUCUUGCUUAAUCCUUUGUCA